UCGAGCGGAUUCCCUCCUCCUCCUCUUAUUUCCAAACUCGCCGUGUUGAAGAGCAGCACUGGUUAGAGUGAAGUCUUAGCCUUGUGAUGUUGUGCUAGCUGUGUUAACAAUGUAGAUAAUUGCGUCGGACAUCACCGUCUGUUUCUAUUCCAUAAUUAUUUCGUCCUCUACAGGCGGCUCAUUUCAUUUCGACCCUGAUUCUAACAUCAAGAUAACUCUCGACGCGGUGGCGAGCAGACGAUAUCUCACGAGGCUGUAACUAGCAGACGAAGGUCGCCGAAACAACGGAUGCUAAUGAGUCUUCAGAUCAAGUCUCCAGUCUGUAUAUUUCCGGGAAUCACAUAGAUCUAGUUUGCCAAUAAUUUGGAUUCAGCAACUUCUUAUCAAAAAGUCAUCACUAGCCAUCUUGAUGUGAUAACAUCCACACAUCGCAUCUAACAUCAACAUAAUCAGCGCCACAUCAAUUCUAACAUCAACAUAACGAAACAUAGACGAAGAACGCCAUAGGCAAUCUUCAAAUUUUAAAUUCUACAAAUAAAUUUGAAAGUUCUUAGUUGGCACGAGUUCAAUUAAAAGAAACAAAAAACAACACAGUUUUAAGAACUUUUAAAAACCUAGUUAAAACUUUAAAAAAAAAUGGAAACACUCUGUUUUAAAAGUAUUGUUUUAUUUCUUUUGUUAACUGCAUUGGACGGAGCUGUCUUGAGGCAGAGCAUCGUUUGUGGCGGCGGGGACUGUCUUUUGGGAGAAUUCUAUGACGCGGAUGUUCAAAUAUGUCGGCCGUGUCUAAACAGAACAUUCAUGGACAUGAAUGACCAAAGCUGCAACGCUUGUAAGCCUUGUACGGACAUCCGAAGCCCAGGUGUCCUAGUUCAAUUCCCUUGCAACCAAUCCAGAGACACCGUUUUUGUUUGCGCGGAAGGAUACUUUAAGACAAAGUCCGACCUUGACAUCUACUCUUGCGCGCCGUGCACCGUGUGCAAACAAGGACACCAUAUUCUUUCAGGUUGCACUCCAUUAAGAGACACCGUCUGUGGUAGCGAUGCAGAUUCAGGGGAAGAUUCCGGCUCCGGGAACAUAUCGGGAUGGCUCAUCCCCCUCUUGUCGGUGUCCAUUCCAGCCCUGAUUCUAAUUAUCGCGUUCGCUAUUGUAAGCCUCAAUAAAGUGUCCUCUAUUCAGCGUAAAUUUCUCUGUCACCGCAGUAAGGAAGAUGACGAGGUCUCCAUAGUGGAAACGUACAAACAUCUGCAGGAAGAGCGAAAAGAAAAAAGGAAGAAGAAAAAGUCGAAAGAUAAAGAGAAAGCCAAAGGAAGGGAGGCAACACCAACAGAGUCCUAAUUAAGUUAGAAACACUGAAAGAUCUGCUUGCCUUAAUCUAAUGUAUUUUGCAUCAUCGCUUUAAUUUGUAUUUGUUUUUUUUUUUCUUUUCAAUUUUUUCAUUUUAAACCUAAUUUUUUUUUAUUGUUGAAAUUGAUUAAAUUUUAAUAGCUCGUAAAUUUUCUUAUUCCCCUAUGCAAGAAAUAAUAUUUCCUUACCAUAUAUUAUCAUCCUUCCAAGAAGACAACAAAGAACUAAACUGUAUGAAUAAAUAAAAUUAAGCGAAUACAAGACAGCCUAAAAUUUGAAUUAUAAAUUACAAAAAAAAAAAUAUUCUAUUCUUAUUCACGCGAAAAGAGGAGAGCACUCAAAAACUAUGCCAAAAUAUUACAAUUCUUACAGUUUUAUUUCCCUUUUUUCCCAUAAUUCUAAAGAACCAGAGAUAACAUAACGGCUGAAAAUGAUUAGAGCAUAGACUUCUAUAUAGGCCUACUACUCUAGACUGGGCAUGGAGACUUUUUAAAACUACAAAAAAUGUCGUGAAAAUUUUUGUAGAAAGUUGGAUCAAGGCGUUGUUUUGUAAAGUACGGUAGUUAAAAGAAGUAAAGUCUCUUUUUUUCAACCCUAACCUAGAUAUGUAACAUAUAAUCAUGGACGUAAAUAAAUAUAGACUGGAAAAAGGAAGUAACUUCAUGUAACUUGAAAACAUGUAUAUCUAUUGUAUUCGGAUUUCCGAAAUAUGAAAAGUUGCAUGAUCUUCAUUCUUAGAGAUUAAACAAAGCUACACUGCCUCCUUAUUUACAAUAUAUAUAGGUGUGUAUCAAAGUUAAAAAAGCACUUUUAUACUGCUCAUAAAUGCUGUAUAAUAAAGUACACAAAAUUGCAAGUCACACAUUUUCGUUUCAUAAAACUCUUUAAUUGGCCAGUCUAUAUUUAUUUAUGUCUAUGCAUAUAAUUUAAUUUCUAGAUCUAGUAAUUGAACAUAUAAAAUAAGAGUAGGCCUACUCUCGUCUCAUAAUUAUUAUUUUGCAAUUUUUAGAUACAUAAUCUAGAAAGAUCUAUUUACAUAAAAUGAUUAAAAUCAACAUGAAUUAUUUCGAUCUAGGAUUUUUGAGACAUUAUCUCACUGGAAACAAACAGAAAAUGGUUUUGUUUCAUAUAUUUGCGUGAAUAUCCGAGAAAUGAUUUUGCAUUAUUUCUAAACUUUGAAAACUAAAGAUCAUUACUUUUCUAAGACAGAAAAGAUUGAUUGGGGCGACUCCCCUUAGCGCUUAAAAAAGAGUUUACACGCAUGAAAAUAUAUAUAUAUAUAUAUAUAUAUAUAUUGGUUUGUGACUCGAUCAGUCGCGGAUAAGAAUUUAUUUCCGGUUUUCAGUCUAGUAUACUAUAUAAGUCUAUGGGUUAGAGCUUAUUACAUUAAAAAGAACUUCAAAUUUUGAAUAUCGCGACAAAUGUGUGCAUUAUACUUGGCAAGAAAUAUUUUAUUUAUUAACGAACCACUUGUAAUUUGUGAAACAUAUUUCAGUGUUAGAUAUUUUUAAUUAUUUCAUUUUAUCGCAUUAUCACUCUUUUUUUUUAAAUAUUAUUUUGUAAAAAUAUGUUUGGAAAUAUUUGUUAUUUCAUGUGGCUCCAAUAGAUUGAACAUUAGAUACUUCUACAUGCAAUGUAAGAAAAAAAAGGAGGCCCUACAUAACGUAGCCUGCAUAAAAAGCCUGUUGUUUUGUCAUUACUUUGAAUUAAUUGGCUUAUCGUUUAUUGUCUUUAACUGUCCUAGUGAGUACCUGGCCAUCAUUCAGUAUCUUUUAUUUAUUACUAUUGCUUUAGUAGGAAAUAAUAGUAGUAAUCCAUAUUAAAGCGUUAUAAACAGAUAAUACAGUGUUUAUUGACGACCUGUGACGUGGCAAAGAACUAUUGGUCUAAACUGCCAAAAGGUUGCGACGUCGAGGAUCAGUGUUUGGUUUCGUCUAGAUCCAGUUUGUCAUGAUAGGCUACUUUUGAAUUUGAACUAUGUGUUAACAUUAGUUAGUUCAUAAUAUAGAUCUUUGAAAUAUACUUAACCGGUUUAGUUUAUUCAUUUCGCCUAGUACCAAUUUUAAUGUCGUGUCUCCAUUGUAUAUAAAUAUAUUUAUGUAUAUAUUUAAAAGUAGGAUAACAGCAAUCCAAAAGGCUAAAAGCUGAUUUUGAUAAUUUAGACAGGGUAUAGAAAUUACAGAUGAACAUUAAUUGCUUUUAGAAGACACAGUGAAUAGUAGAGUGUUAAUUGUUGUUUUAGAACUUAACCUUUGACCUGUUUCACUGCAUUGUUUGAUUGUUAACUGGUGUUCUUUUUAAAUGUUAGUGAACUGAAAUGCCAUUCCCGUCUGUUUAUAUAUGUCAGUGUGUGUUCCCUCUCUGUAUGUGUGUCUCUCUUUCUGUCUGUGUGUGUGUAUGUGUCUCUGUCUGUGUGUUUCCCUCUUAAUUCUUGUAAUUAGUGCUAUUUGCGCCAUACUAUAAUGCUUGACUUUAUGAUUUCCUCUCUUCGCAUAUAUUCUAUAAAUAGAUCAUUAGUUACUCUUUAGUAUUAUCGAUGUAUAUAAUAGUCAAUAAACCAAGUAUAUUUAUUACAUUAAAA